GGCCCUGUGGUGUAGUGGUUAACACGUCAGCCGUAUAAGCUGAAGACGUUGGUUCGAAUCCUUUUUUUAUUU